CGCGGCCUGCGCGGGACAAGGCCCGGGGGGAAGCGAAAAUGCCCUGGAGUGAGGGGGAUUUUUCCAGGAAAACUGGAGAGAGCUGGAAUAGAGAGGGCAGGAGGUGGCAGGGAUGGAAGGAUUUCGUUCCCAGCGCCUAAAGGGGCUCUGAGAGCCCAGGAGAGGGACUUUGGGAAAGGGAGCGGAGUGCGGGACAAAGUUUGAGCUGAAGGAGGGGAGGUUCAGGUGGGAUUUGGGGAAGAAAUUCCUCCCUGGGAAUAACCUGGCACAGAUUAUUCCAUGGCUGCCACAUCCCUGGAAGUGUCCAGGGCCAGCUUGGAGCAACCUGGGGUAGUGGAAAGCAUCCCUUGGGUCAUCCUGGAUCCCUUCCCACCCCAACCAUCCCUGUGAGCAUCCCUGUGAUCAUCCCUGUGAUCAUCCCUGUGAUCAUCCCUGUGAUCAUCCCUAUGAUCAUCCCUGUGAUCAGUGGCCGUGUAUAAUUUUAGUUAAUAAGUUAAUUUAUAAGUUUAGUUAAUAAUAAGUUUGUGGCUGAGAUCCAACGUUCUCCCCAGGUACAUCAGCCUCUCUCCACUCCUUUUAUUCCUGAUGCUUUUUGCUUCAAGCUGGGAUGUAAAAACAUCCCCUCUGGGGAUUGAUGUCCAGCAAAACACAAUCAAAUCAUUUGUGUGCGGCACUUUAGUCGCUUUUCAAAAGUCCACACGCUGUAUUUUAACUAAAAGCUUCGAUAAGUAGUAAAAAGGUGGAAAAACAGCCACUUAUUCUGCAAGUUUGGCACAACCACCGAUGCCAGCCCAUGGCACUGAUGGCAAAACCUCCCAAAAUUGUGGCUGUGCCUCAUGUGAUCAUUUCAGGGGAGCAAAAUGCAGGAGUUCCUGAUAAGUGAUUUUUAGAUGAGCCCAGUCCUAUAAAAUAAGCCAGGCUCAGACAGUGGAGAGUUUGAAAAUAAGUGAGAUAUGAUGGUCAAACAAAGAGCAAGACACCUGGCUUGGGGGUGCUGCUAAAAAUGGCUUAGAAAGGAAGAAAAAAAAGAUUACACAUUUAGGAAAAAAAUAAGAAUAUAGCUGUUGUAAGGAUUUGGGGAAGAGCCUGCACCAUCACAGGUGUGUCAGUGGAUUUUUUGCCUCGAGCCACACAGCUUUAACCCUCGUGGCUCUUGGUGGCUCUUGGAGAAGGUUUUAUUGGGGAAUUGGGUGGUUGUAGCAAUAAAACCCUGUGGCUGUAUUUAUAGCUGUACUGUAAAACCUUUCUCUGGGUACCACAAAGCAGUCUCAGCUCCGGUAGGGAUUUUCUGUUGCUGUUUCUUUCGGUGUGCAAAGGAUUUCAGGAUCUCUCAGCAGCGGUGCUGCUGCCCUGGAGCAGCUUUAGGUGAGGUGGAUCUGAAAGCUCCAUCAGUCAUCAAAUUGCUCAGAGUUUUGUCUUCCCAAAGGCCUUUCCCAGCUGUUUAUUAGGUGGUAAAUUCUCUGGGUUCACUCUGGGCCACUGCAUCCUUGCUCCUGGCUCAUGUUCUUGCUGUCUGGGAAAUGAUUUGUGGCCAGGGGUGACAGUUGGCAGCUUUUUCACUCCUGACACAUUUCUGUGUGCUGGGGGCACAGAAUGGGAUGCACUGGCCUCCCCCAGCACCAAAAACAACCUGGUGGUGCCUGUGCUGCUCUCCCUCCAGUCUCUGCUUCCCAAAUUUGGCCCAUCUCGAAGGAGCAGAGGGACAGUUGGGACCUCAGGGGAGACUGACGGGGUUAUUGAAGGUACAGAAACACCUGGCAGGUGUCCCCAGAGCUGGGUCUUGGGAUGAGGAUGAGGCUCUGGUGCUCUCCUGGUGGUGCUGCUGCUCCUCUGGCACAGCCCUGCUGCCCCUGGUUCUCCCCACACUUUCCCCUGACAGAAAUGUGGCAUUUUCAUCAGGACAUGUUCAAACUCCUGGUUCUUUCUGGGGUUUGGUGCAAUUAGCACCAAAGGGGAGCUCCAGGCAGGAGGAACGAGGCUUCCUUCAAACCUCUGAUUCCAGGGAUGUGCCUGCCCAAAAAGCCACAGUCAUUCUUCUGAGAGUUUUGUGCUAUUUAAUUAAUCAUCUCCAGAUUUUCUGCUUGCUGGUGACUUCAAAGCAGGCACUUUUGAGGUGCAGCCUCCCAAAAUCAUAUUGAAAGCUGGUGUCUUCAUCCCCCAGGAGGAGCACACAGUCACAGGCUGUGGGAGAUUUUUCUCAUCCUUUAGAGCUUUAUACCUUUGUCUAAGAUUUUUUCUGUGACUUUUUUAAGCACAGCCUUUGGUCACCCUGCAGAUGGGUGUUCUAGACUUUGAGUUUUCUCCAGGUCCCAGUGUGAUCACAGUUGGUUCACAGAGGGAUUUAUUUCAAGGAUUAUCAAUUUACUGGGUUAUCUUUUGCAGCAGGAAGGGUUUUGCUGAUAGAAAUUCAACCUCUGCCUUCUUUCCCACCGUUCCAAGUUGGAUUUUACUUGUCAAGACAACCAUAAAGCCUUCCACGAGUGAAAGGAAAACCAAAUCCUUUGGGUUUGCAUUAGGUGUGCCGAGGUUGUCAGUGCUGUGCCUCUUCUCUUCAGCACCACACAACUUCACAGCUCAGUUUGGGCAGAGGUCAGGUCUUUUCCAGCCCAGGAGGGAGGCAGGGAUCUGGCCCAGGACUGAUUCUCUGGGAUUUUAGCCAUGAGCACAGAGGUGGCCCAGCCUGAGGCAGGAGGGACAGGCGCUGAGGAAAGCAGGGGUGCAGCAGGAGCUUGUCCUGUGCUGGUGGUGUGAUCUUCAUCAUCUAAACCUGGGUGUUUGAGGGGGUUUAUCCUCAAUUCUGAGGUUCUGACCGUGGUUCCAUGGCGUUGAAUCUCCUCUUGUUUUAUUCCUGCUGUUCUCCGCCCACAUGAGCUGCCUGAGGUUGGACCUUCAGGUCACACUGACCUUGAGGCAAAAACUCCCUGUCUCAGGGAAUUCCUCUUCUUGGAUUGCACUUAAGAUCUCCCCUUUCAUGGGAAUUGAUGGCGUGUUUGGGAGUGAACAGCAGCCUGAAAUUUGUGGGAUUCCAAACGCACCCAUUCCCAGCCAGGACUCCGUGACAGAGUUGGAUCAAUUGUUAAUAGCGAGGAGGAUGCCGUGAUGCUGAUGCUGAGGGAGAUGCAGCGAUGAACUCUGCUCCAGGAUUUAGCUCUGCCCGCAGCCGAGCGCCGGGGAUGCUGCGGAAAGGUUGCCAGAGAGGCGGAUACCAGCCUGCAUCCAGGUUUUUGCUGCAUCCCCGCUGCCAGACGAGAUAUGGAUGAUCCCUGGGAUUAUUCCUGCCGUGUCCCUGCGCAGGGAGGGGAUGCUGGAGGUGCUGCCGUGCCGGGGAGGUGCCGGUGGGUGCCGGACCCUGCGGCGCUGGGGAUUUUUCAGUUCUGGAGCCGACGCUCCCCUCACGGUGAGGUCUCUGUGGCGCAAUGGACGAGCGCGCUGGACUUCUAAUCCAGAGGUUCCGGGUUCGAGUCCCGGCAGAGAUGAUCUCCAGGCAGGUGUCUCUUUUAUUUUAGUGCCAUUUCCCCUCCCAGUCCCCAUCCAUUGCAUUUAUAACGCCCCUGAGGGUUUGCAUGGGGAGGGAAUGACUUUUCCCGGCAUGGCUGAUGGAUGUAACAUCCCUGUUCUCCCUUCUGCAGGCGUUUCUCCUCCAUCAUCUCCCCCUUCCCUCAUUCCCUUUGGUAUCUCCUCCAAGCAGGUGUUUUAACCCCACUACUGCCCCAUUUUUGAUACCUUCCUCCUAAGGGAAGUUCUGUGCUCUCCAGUAGGGCCCAGCAGGGGUCAGAACCUUCUGGUGGCGUUUCCUGUCACAAAUGAAGUCACUUUUUUCAUGUGUGGCCAAAGAAGUGUAGAUCUCUGA